UGAUUGACUUGGGUGUUGGUUUAUCAGA
rnacentral:piRNA from 1 species